AGAAUUCAUUCAGGUCUAUAGUCUUGAGUCAACAACAGAUUCUUCAUUCAAGUCAAUAGUCUUCUCAGAAAAUGAGGUGGUGUUAAGUUACAUUAUAAUGUAAGUUAACAAGGUCUCUGAAAAUGAUUUUGUAAUUAUCAUUGGUAUUGAGGAUAUAUUGUUAAGUCUAGCCUCUUGUGUUUUAUAUUCUGCAUUGGAGUAGCUAAACCUUGUCCUUCUCAACAAGUCUUCGUUCAGGUAAAUAUGCCUUUGGAAAAGAAAUUUCUUGGUAGUCUUUUUAAAUUAUCGUUAAAAAAAUAGAAGUUUUUUUAAUAGAAUUUUUAGAUUCACGUGGAUAGAGACUUAAAUAAUGAAUGCAAUUUAUCGGCUGUUUUAAUCAAGCGAGAGCAACUGCCCCCACUUGCCUAAUACUAGCUCCAUCCUUUUAAAUAAUCAAUUAGACAAAAAUGUAGUUAGGCACAUGUUUGGUAAACUAUAAGUAUUAACAAUUUGGCAAUAUUAUUCAUGCUGGUUGAUUAAGAGAAAAGACUCUUAAAAUUACACCCAUCAUUUAAGCUUAUGCCCCCAUAAACUGAAUUGAAAUGCACUCACAAAUUAAAUUUUCCACUUAAUUGUUCGUAUCUAUUUUUCAUUUCGAAUUAUCAUUAUGUUUCUCAAAAGAUUUGUUUCUUAGCCAAAAAAAAAAAAAAAAAGAAUUAUGUUUCUCAAAAGAUCAAUAGUACUUUAUUUUUCUCAUUUAUAGACAAAAACGUCGUAUGACUUCAUAUUGUUUAUAGGUGAACAUAAUUGGAUGAGGCUGCUGUCCUGUUUUACACAUACCAGAAUUCGGUCUGAUUUCAGGACGAGACUGAGCGUGGCUGCAAGCCAAUGCUGGAUUUUCGGUUUUCAACGGAGCUGUGAGCUUUUCCAUGCUUUUUCUGUGUCAUCUUUCCUAUUAUAUAAACCUGCAAUAUCUUUGUUAUUUUUAGGUUAAGCAUCUGGAGCUCGUCAAAUUUAAAUUUGCUUUUUCUGAGUGUCUUCGUGCUAUUUCUUCACCACUUGCCUUAUUGUAUCUGUCAUCUAGUUUGGUUCUGAUCUUGACGCUGCAAAAAUUCUAAUACUCUCUGUUGAAAAUUAAUAAUCCAAUUUCUCUAAAUGUUUUCGUGUUGACACACUUUAUGGAUUUUGUGAUACAAUUGCAUGCACUUCUCUUUUGUAGUUUGUAUGAAAGUUAGUGAUUUAAUCUAGUGCGUCAAGGAUGGAGUUAUAAAACUAAAGCUGAAAGAAAACCUUUUUUGUUUAACUGUGUAUUGGUUCUCAGUUUGGAGUAUAAUCUUAAGUCAAACAUAUUAUAUAUAUAAAUAUUUUUAGGAGCAUCUGAAAAAAUUUCUUGACCAAUUGAGUGGAUUUUAAAAAGUAGCAGUAGCUGCAGCAACAGGAGCUUAAUAUGCAAUAGCAAUCCAAUCCAAUGGCUUCAUUGACUUUCUGCCUGCUCUGUGGCUUUUGAUAAUUUCCAACAACCUAUAAGAGUACAAGCUAUAUUCCUAAUUCCAGCAGCCCCUUAAAUCAGAAAAUACAUGCCUUUGACAUAUAUACACCAUAAUUUGAGAAAUAUAGAAGAGAGAAAUUUUGAAGAAUGGGAAAAUAAUGAAAAGGUGAAAAGAUGAGAGAUGAUAGAAGAAAGAUGGUUUCUGUGAAAAUACAUGCCUUAAAAGUACUUACAUGCCUUUUAACCCUUUAAUAAAAUGGUUAUUAAUUGUCUUCUUAAUAAAUAUACUUGUCUCCAUACUUUUUUGCAAUUUAUUGAGUUAAAAUGUCAUAUAUUCUGUCGUAUAAAGAUCAUAAUAUUAUCUAUUUAAGAUAUGAUGAUGCCAUAUUCAAAUCGGAUGAGGCUGCUGUCAUGGAUUAACACACAUUAUUUUUCUUAUGCGACUUUCAGAAGUGAUUGGUAUGGCUGCAAGCGCAUAUUGCAGAGGAGGAUAAGUUCCUCAAUUAUUUUAAAUAGUUUUUGAUAGAAAUACUUAAUUAGUAACUUGUAAUUAAUUCCAAUGAAAAUUUAUUGUUUAACAGUUAAGAUGAGCAGGGUGUUUGAAGAAUUCAGCUUGGGGUUCAAUCAAAUAUCUGAAUGGAGACUUGAUGACAGGAGACUUGUAAUUCAAAAUACUGCAACUUAUGAAUUCAGAAGAGG
rnacentral:lncRNA from 1 species